CACUAUAGCAUCAGAAACAAACAGAAAGACAAAAAGUAACCUCAAGUGUACAAACUAUUCGACAUUUAGGGCAAACUUGCCAUAGUUAAAUGUAAAGAAGUUGAAAACAAAUCUCUGAAUUUCCUAUCCAUAGUUGCUAUCUUGGUCAGACACAUGGCCUCUGAUACUAGAUAUGAAAAAGAUAUUCUCUUUACCUAGUGCACUCAAUUCACCAGCAACAUAACAAGACGGAAAUG
rnacentral:lncRNA from 1 species